CUGACCUCAAAUCAGGUAGGACUACCCGCUGAACUUAAGCAUAUCAAUAAGCGGAGGAAAAGAAACUAACAAGGAUUCCCCUAGUAACUGCGAGUGAAGCGGGAAAAGCUCAAAUUUAAAAUCUGGCAGUUUUGGCUGUCCGAGUUGUAGUCUAGAGAAGUGUUUUCCGCGCUGGACCGUGUACAAGUCUCUUGGAACAGAGCGUCAUAGAGGGUGAGAAUCCCGUCUUUGACACGGACUACCAGUGCUUUGUGAUGCGCUCUCAAAGAGUCGAGUUGUUUGGGAAUGCAGCUCAAAAUGGGUGGUAAAUUCCAUCUAAAGCUAAAUAUUGGCGAGAGACCGAUAGCGAACAAGUACCGUGAGGGAAAGAUGAAAAGCACUUUGGAAAGAGAGUUAAACAGUACGUGAAAUUGCUGAAAGGGAAACGCUUGAAGUCAGUCGCGUUAGCUAGAACUCAGCCUGGCUUGCCAGGUGCAUUUUCUAGUUGACGGGCCAGCAUCAGUUUUGAC
rnacentral:rRNA from 1 species